GAUGAACGCUGGCGGCGUGCCUAAUACAUGCAAGUCGAGCGAACGGACGAGAAGCUUGCUUCUCUGAUGUUAGCGGCGGACGGGUGAGUAACACGUGGAUAACCUACCUAUAAGACUGGGAUAACUUCGGGAAACCGUAGCUAAUACCGGAUAAUAUUUUGAACCGCAUGGUUCAAAAGUGAAAGACGGUCUUGCUGUCACUUAUAGGUGGAUCCGCGCUGCAUUAGCUAGUUGGUAAGGUAACGGCUUACCAAGGCAACGAUGCAUAGCCGACCUGAGAGGGUGAUCGGCCACACUGGAACUGAGACACGGUCCAGACCCCUACGGGAGGCAGCAGUAGGGAAUCUUCCGCAAUGGGCGAAAGCCUGACGGAGCAACGCCGCGUGAGUGAUGAAGGUCUUCGGAUCGUAAAACUCUGUUAUUAGGGAAGAACAUAUGUGUAAGUAACUGUGCACAUCUUGACGGUACCUAAUCAGAAAGCCACGGCUAACUACGUG
rnacentral:rRNA from 1 species